UAGUACAAAGGGGGCAAAAGAAC
rnacentral:misc_RNA from 1 species